UGGUAACACCCGAAGCCGGUGGCCAACCUUAGGACGGAGCCGUCGAAAGGUGGGACCUAGCGAUUGGGGUG
rnacentral:rRNA from 1 species